GGGCCCGCACAAGCGGUGGAGUAUGUGGUUUAAUUCGAUGCAACGCGAAGAACCUUACCAGGGUUUGACAUCCUGCGAAUUUCUUGGAAACGAGAAAGUGCCUUCGGGAACGCAGUGACAGGUGGUGCAUGGCUGUCGUCAGCUCGUGUCGUGAGAUGUUGGGUUAAGUCCCGCAACGAGCGCAACCCACGUCUUUAGUUGCCAGCAUUUAGUUGGGCACUCUAGAGAGACCGCCGGUGAUAAACCGGAGGAAGGUGUGGAUGACGUCAAGUCAUCAUGCCCCUUACGUGUAGGGCUACACACGUGCUACAAUGGCCGGUACAGACGGUUGCGAACCUGCGAGGGGAAGCUAAUCCGAGAAAGCCGGUCGUAGUCCGGAUUGGGGUCUGCAACUCGACCCCAUGAAGUCGGAAUCGCUAGUAAUCG
rnacentral:rRNA from 1 species